AGCAAAAAUCCAAAAGAGGUGUCA
rnacentral:siRNA from 1 species